rnacentral:snoRNA from 1 species
GAGACAUGAUGAUUCUACUUUGGUCCGUGUUUAUGAAUUUCUUAUUGAUUUUUUUCAAAGUGCUGAUCUC